GUGUUGAGAUAAAUGCUCAUCAUUGAGUGCAGCAUUGACCCUUUGAACCAAACAACAAUUUGAUGGGUCGAUGCUGCAUUCAACGAUAAGCUUUUAUUAAUGGCGAC
rnacentral:pre_miRNA from 1 species